UGCUUGUUUUGGGGUCCGGCCGCCGGCGCCAAGCCUCAAGGCAUCCAAGCCAGGAACGAUCGCGGUCAGCUCUGCCACGGAACAUGUGCAAGACCCGGCAGCAGGUUCCGGGGGAGGCGAAUUGAUUUCACAACGGUCGAGAAGGAGGACCCCGCCCACUUCGUCAUUUCUCGGAAGCCCAGGGACUCGCCGGAAGAGCGGCUCAAAAGCCGGAAAACUGGCAAAUCCGAGUCUCCCGGCGC
rnacentral:lncRNA from 1 species